rnacentral:rRNA from 1 species
AUACGUAGGGGGCGAGCGUUGUCCGGAAUGAUUGGGCGUAAAGGGCGCGUAGGCGGCCCGGUAAGUCUGGAGUGAAAGUCCUGUUUUUAAGAUGGGAAUUGCUUUGGAUACUGUCGGGCUUGAGUGCAGGAGAGGUAAGUGGAAUUCCCAGUGUAGCGGUGAAAUGCGUAGAGAUUGGGAGGAACACCAGUGGCGAAGGCGACUUACUGGACUGUAACUGACGCUGAGGCGCGAAAUUGUGGGGAGCAAACAGGAUUAGAUACCCUGGUAGUCCACACUGUAAACGAUGAAUGCUAGGUGUAGGGGGUAUCGACCCCUUCUGUGCCGCAGUCAACACAAUAAGCAUUCCGCCUGGGGAGUACGGCCGCAAGGUUGAAACUCAAAGGAAUUGGCGGG